AUCCCUACUCCUCUCUCGCAGCGUCCUCCCUCCUGCCCUCUAUGCAUGGCGGCGGCGCAAGGCCCGGCCACAUCGCCGCCCCUUCCUACUCUGCCUCUACGCACGGCGGCGGCGCAAGCCCGGCAGAGGCUGGCCUCUGCGCACGGCAGUGGAGACCCUACGAAGGCGUCGCGCACGCGCCUCCCGCUGGAGCCGAGGCCUCAGUGAGCGCCAGCUGCUCAAGCUGGCCGGACGUGUGGCUGGCCGGACCUGUGCUCGCCUGCCUCCCGAAGCCCCACCUCACGGGCUGGUCUGCGGCGGUGGCGGAUCUCCUCUCUUCAAAUCUGCUCGCAGACGCGGCGCCGGAGUAGCCCCGACUCCCUCCCCCGAUGCAUCCGGUCCCACUGGCAAGAUCCGCCGCCGUCGUCCACCCCGGCCCGCUCGCAGGAGUGGGGGCGCGAGCCCUUCGCAGUAGCGCUGCGCCGCCGGGUGAGGUCAGGCGCCUCGGAGGCCGCGAGUCCAUUGCCAGCGAGCCCUCCUCAUCGUCCCCCCGCCGCGACACCAGAGGCGCUUCGUCAGCCGGCGGUGGUGCCGAGGGAGUGGACUUCUCGGCUUUCACCUUCCGUGCGGCUGCGCCGGUCCACCGGAAGGCCAAGGAGAGCCCCCUCAGCUCCGACGCCAUCUUCAAGCAGAUCAGAUGUGGUAGAUGCUUAGCAUGAUGAGCCCUUGCUUCCUGACCAGAGCGCAUCCUAUGAAGUGGAACUGCUGAGUAGGCUCCUGAUCGCCAUAUCUGUUGGGCCUGAUUGGCCAUUGUUCUGAAGGUGGACAAAGGCUACUUGUGUAUGAGUUCAUGGCAAAUGGGGGGCUCCAGGAGCACCUCUAUCCAAACAGAGGUUCUUGUGGUGGGAUCUCAAAAUUGGACUGGGAUACAAGAACGAGAAUUGCACUUGAAGCAGCAAAAGGUUUGGAAUAUAUUCAUGAGCGUGUUAAUGCACCUGUCAUACACAGAGACUUCAAGAGCAGCAAUAUUCUUCUGGAUAAGGACUUCCAUGCAAGAGUUUCAGACUUUGGUCUAGCCAAACUUGGAUCUGAUAGAGCUGGUGGUCAUGUCAACUCAAGUUUUAGGCACACAAGGCAAUGUUGCGUACCUCAAGUGUUUCUUGAUUACACAUAAUCUAUUGGAUUUGAUUGUCUUUUUCUGUUUACAAAACUUGUACAAAAUUAUGAAGAUGACAUUAUGAGUUUUUUUUUGCUAAUCUUGUGCCAGAAUUAUAAUGCUAAAAUGGGCUUCAUGUGGUGGGCCAGAAUUUUUA